UGUGAUAUAACUAGAGUGUCACCUUGACACGGUGGAAGUCAUAAGUUCGAAUCUGAUUAUCCCUA
rnacentral:tRNA from 1 species